AAGCUACAGUGUUUGAGUGAUGACUUCACAAAUUGUCGGAUACCCCUUCACUCCUUUUGAGUGAGAACUGUGGUCUGACAAACCUGUAUGCAA
rnacentral:snoRNA from 1 species